AACGUAGGGGGCGAGCGUUAUCCGGAUUUACUGGGCGUAAAGGGUGUGCAGGCGGGCUGUUAAGUGGUGUAUGAAAUCGUCCGGCUCAACCGGGCGAGGUUAUGCCAGACUGGCAGUCUAGAGAGCGAGAGAGGGACGUGGAAUUCCGGGUGUAGUGGUGAAAUGCGUAGAGAUCCGGAGGAACCCCAGAGGCGAAGGCGGCGUCCUGGCUCGCAUCUGACGCUCAGACACGACAGCAUGGGGAGCGAACGGG
rnacentral:rRNA from 1 species